UUUCCGUAGGUGAACCUGCGGAAGGAUCAUUGUCGAAACCUGCGAGGCAGAACGACCCGUGGACCGUUGAAAACUCACUCGAGGGGCGGGCCCCCGUGCCCGCCGCUCGUUGGCCCAGGGCUAGGGUUGGGGGUAAAGUCCACUCCCCUUGUCGUGGGCACAAGCAACAAAACCCCGGCGCAGAUCGCGCCAAGGAAAAAGAAAGAAAGACGUGCUCCCUUCGUCCCGGAAACGGUGCACUGGGGACUGCGUGGUCGUUAUCCUAUUCCAAACGACUCUCGGCAACGGAUAUCUCGGCUCUCGCAUCGAUGAAGAACGUAGCGAAAUGCGAUACUUGGUGUGAAUUGCAGAAUCCCGUGAACCAUCGAGUUUUUGAACGCAAGUUGCGCCCAAAGCCAUUAGGCCGAGGGCACGCCUGCCUGGGUGUCACGAAACGUCGCCAAACAACCCUUUGACACCCCCUCUAAGGGGUAAGCAUCGAGGGCUGGCGGAUGUUGGCCUCCCGUGUGCAUUUGCUCGCGGUUGGCCCAAAAGAGAGUCCCUCGGCGAGUACCCACGACACGCGGUGGUUGAAAGCUCGCGCUCUCCUCGAACACUGUCGUGGGCGAGCCUCGUGCAGGGGGACAGCUAGAGACCCCGACGCCAAGCGUCUUCACGCAG
rnacentral:rRNA from 1 species